GAUUAAGACAAUUAAAAUAUUCAUUAAAGGAA
rnacentral:tRNA from 1 species